CUCUCUGGAGAAUCUCAUUUAGUUGAGUGCCGAAGGUGCAAGGCGAAAGCCGAAUCUCUCAGGCAAAAGGACAGAGGAUG
rnacentral:ncRNA from 1 species